rnacentral:rRNA from 1 species
UACGUAGGGACCGAGCGUUGUCCGGAUUCAUUGGGCGUAAAGAGCUCGUAGGCGGCCACUCAAGUCGAAUGUGAAACCUCGAGGCUCAACCUCGAGCCUGCAUUCGAUACUGGGCGGCUAGAGUCUGGUAGGGGGGAUCUGGAAUUCCUGGUGUAGCGGUGGAAUGCGCAGAUAUCAGGAGGAACACCGGUGGCGAAGGCGGGAUCCUGGGCCAGUACUGACGCUGAGGAGCGAAAGCGUGGGGAGCAAACAGG